AAUGAACGCUGGCGGCAUGCCUAACACAUGCAAGUCGAACGGGAUCCUUCGGGGUCUAGUGGCGCACGGGUGCGUAACGCGUGGGAAUCUACCCUUGGGUUCGGAAUAACAGCGAGAAAUUACUGCUAAUACCGGAUAAUGUCGCAAGACCAAAGAUUUAUUGCCCAGGGAUGAGCCCGCGUAAGAUUAGCUAGUUGGUGGGGUAAAGGCCUACCAAGGCGACGAUCUUUAGCUGGUCUGAGAGGAUGAUCAGCCACACUGGGACUGAGACACGGCCCAGACUCCUACGGGAGGCAGCAGUGGGGAAUAUUGGACAAUGGGCGAAAGCCUGAUCCAGCAAUGCCGCGUGAGUGAUGAAGGCCUUAGGGUUGUAAAGCUCUUUUACCCGGGAAGAUAAUGACUGUACCGGGAGAAUAAGCCCCGGCUAACUCCGUGCCAGCAGCCGCGGUAAUACGGAGGGGGCUAGCGUUAUUCGGAAUUACUGGGCGUAAAGCGUACGUAGGCGGUGGUUCAAGUCAGAGGUGAAAGCCCGGAGCUCAACUCCGGAACUGCCUUUGAAACUAGAUCGCUAGAACAUCGGAGAGGUAAGUGGAAUUCCGAGUGUAGAGGUGAAAUUCGUAGAUAUUCGGAAGAACACCAGUGGCGAAGGCGGCUUACUGGA
rnacentral:rRNA from 1 species